GAGGCCUGUGUGGCAAGGAACUGGGAGUAGCCUCCAGAUGACAGCCAGUAAGGAACUGAGACCCUCAGUCCACCAACCCAUGAGGAACCCAUGCAAUGACCACAUGAGUCAAACUUUGAGAUGACUGCAGACCGAGCCAGCCCCUUGAUAAGAGCUUUGUGAGAGGAUCAGAGCCAAAGGACCAGAUAGACCGGCUAUUAAGGAAGAAAGCCAUCUUCUAUAACAUACAACACAAUGGAACUGUUUAAGAAAUUGGGAUGGGUGCAUUGACUCGUGCCUGUAAUCUUACUUUGGGAGGCCAAUGCGGGUGGAUCGCUUGAGCCCAGAAGUUUGAGACCAGCCUGGGCAACAUGGUGAAACUCUAUCUCUACAAAAAAUAAAAAAAAAUUAGUCAGGUUUGGUAGUGGCAUGGGCUGAGGUGGGAGGACUGCUUGAGCCUGGGAGGUUGAGGCUGCAGUGAGCCAUGACUGCACCAUUGCACUCCAGCCUGAGUGACAGAGCGAAACCCUAUCUCCCCACUGCCCCUCGCAAAAAAAGGAAGAAAUCUUAAUGAAACUUGAACUGAACUUGGGCUAGAAGAAACCCGAAGUGUGAAGCAGGACUAAGACCAAUUGCUCUUAGUCUCCUAAAGGCCAAAUAAGAAGCAAAAAGCUUUUAUAUGUAUCAAAAGAAAUUAUCUGUCUUCUGAGGAGACCCUUCUUUCAUGGCAUUCAAACUUCGGAGUAUUAGGCUUUUAAA
rnacentral:lncRNA from 1 species